GGACGGUCCUCUGUGCGCUCACACCCUUUCUGGAGAAGUCCACAUGGCAGAAAGAACGCAUUGUUCGGGAAACUAUGUCUCACACGGCUUCCUCUCUCCACCCGAAAGAAGUACCAUGCCUCAUCCUCCCUCUGCGCGUCUCUGAUCACCAAGGAGCAGCUCCCUUUGCCGGGAUCCCCAGUGAGCUGGAAUCGGUCCCGGGUGCUCAUUUCCACCUCUCGACUCUGGUUGUUUGUGGCCACAGGAGCACCCGUCUUUGGGCUGGUCCAUCGUUUGAACCAGUAGCCAUAAGCAGCAGUAGACUCGUCCCAGCCAUCCCGGGGGUAGGAGAGGUUGCAAGACACGAUGACACACAGGCCCUCGGGCACCGUCACCUGCCUCUGCACUUGAAGACUGUAACUGGGAUCCUUGUUCAGGGACCCUGGGGAGAUGCAGAGGCUCAGCGGCAGCCCCAGCCCCUGCCUGGGACCCCCAGCCACCGACCCACUCACCAGCCCCCAGCAUGGGCAGCAGCAGGGGUAGCAGCAACAGGGGUAACAGCAGCAUCUCUGGGCUCUGGGGCUGGGCCUGUCCCAGGACCAUCUGGCUUCUGGGCCAGCCUGGCUGGGAAGGAAACUCCUCCAGCAGGAAGCCUGGUGGAGGGGCAGUGACCAUCCGCAGAGGAGGAGCCUCGGGAACCGCUAUGUCC
rnacentral:lncRNA from 1 species